GUGACCCUUCUCACCAGGUAAAUCAAUGUGCAUGCUUCCCUUUUCUCACCCAUCAUCACCUCUUCGGGGAAUGUCGCAGUUAAAUCUGUCUCCACCUGCAGCCUAUGGCCCAGCACCUGCUCUGCAUCUGACUUUCAUCUGUAGCUCAGUCCAUAGGGGAUUUGACCUGAGGACCGCAGGGUGGCCUCUUCAGGACUCGCUGGGACCAGUCAAUAUGGAGCGUGGUGUGGUUUAAUCACUUUGGUGAUCCCCUGGUCUUUCACCGGUCUUUGUCAUCAGGUUAAAAUUUCAAUUUGUCAAGUUUAUCACACUGUAGCACUAUCGACAUUGUCACCCUUUGAAUAGUCUCACUUGGUGGAUGUAAAUUGCGGAUGAAGCCUGCUGUUUGGCGCCCUUCGAUUCACAAGGCGGUCCUUUUCCUCUGACUCAGGCACAGGGUAGGAAGCUCAAACAUCGUACAGCUGUGUUGUGGUUGCAAAUUAUAUAAAUAUAGUGAAUCAGUCAAAUACUUAUUAUUUUACCAAUUACGGAAUGUUCACUAGGAAAUUGAUAGUAAAAAUCCAGACCAAAAUCUAAGGAAAAACAACACAUUUGGUAAUUUAGCUACUAAUGACUGACAGCUAACGUUAGCGUGUCAUCCAACAUGGCAGGAAAGGUGGAUUUGUUAAAAUCUGAAAGCAAAACUCUGCAAAAAGGAUCUGCAGAGCUUUGUCAAUUUCCUCUUGUUUCCCCUGUUUUUUUUUUUGUUUUUUGUUUUUUGCCUCCCUUUUUGUUGUAUGUUUGUCUCCCUCUGUCUGUCAGUGUUUUGUCUCAGUCUGGGAGUGGCUGACUUACAUUCUGGUCGUCAGCCAGACUCCUCUCACCUGCUGCUCCACACACCUGAAGUCCAUCUACACUGUUCACCAGUUGCCUGUUUUAAGACGG